rnacentral:lncRNA from 1 species
UUUUCUUUCAUUUUUGGUUUAUUUCCCUCCUCCAAACAAUUAUGUAUUAAUUGGAAAAAGAGCUGUCUGGUGCCACCAGCCUUGCAUAUAUAAUGCAUAGGUGCUAUGUGGUCUGAGUGGCAUCAUGGCAAUAUCCUGAUGAAUUUACAAAAUACUCAAUAUCUGCUUAAUGCUAUUGGCAAACCUGUUGAUACAGUCUGAGGCAAAUGUACUCUUUGAAUGAAAUGUGCUACUGUGGCUGAAAAUUAAAUGAAUACAGGGAUGGAGCACAGGUGAGCGGAGAUGCUGUUGGACUGAGCGGUUGAAACAAAGCAAGGAUUGGGAGUGUUGGAUGCUGCGGUUCUCAACUUUGUGCGCCUCAGCAUCGUUGGUACCGUGCCAGGUUUUCACACCAGGAGAAUUUCGGAGUGUCCUUUUACGGAUGGCAAUCCCAGCAGCAUCAUCUUUUAUCUGUUUGCGCUGAGUCCAUUUGGCCUUGCCCUGCUGUGGUCCCCCUUGGUGCCCCUCUCCUGUGCUCCCAGGACAUAA